CCUACGGGCGGCUGCAGUGGGGAAUAUUGCACAAUGGGGGAAACCCUGAUGCAGCAACGCCGCGUGAAGGAAGACGGUUUUCGGAUUGUAAACUUCUGUUUUUAGUGAAGAAUAAUGACGGUAGCUAAGGAGCAAGCCACGGCUAACUACGUGCCAGCAGCCGCGGUAAUACGGAGGUGGCAAGCGUUGUCCGGAAUUACUGGGUGUAAAGGGAGCGCAGGCGGGAAGCCAAGUCAGCUGUGAAAACUACGGGCUUAACUUGUAGACUGCGGUUGAAACUGGUUUGCUUGAGUGAAGUAGAGGUAGGCGGAAUUCGGAGUGUAGCGGUGAAAUGCGUAGAUAUUCGGAGGAACACCGAUUGCGAAGGCGGCCAACUGGGCCUGAACUGACGCUGAGGCUCGAAAGUGUGGGGAGCAAACAGGAUUAGAUACCCGUGUAGUC
rnacentral:rRNA from 1 species